rnacentral:rRNA from 1 species
UACGUAGGAUGCAAGCGUUGUCCGGAAUUACUGGGCGUAAAGCGUGCGUAGACGGUUAUUUAAGUCGGGUGUGAAAGCCCCGGGCUCAACCUGGGAAUUGCAUUCGAGACUGAAUAGCUAGGGUACGGUAGAGGGAAGUGGAAUUUCCGGUGUAGCGGUGAAAUGCGCAGAUAUUAGGAGGAACACCGGUGGCGAAGGCGCCGCUCUGGGCCGAAACUGACGCUGAGGAGCGAAAGCAUGGGUAGCAAACAGG